GGGCCGGUACCAGGAACCCCCGGAAACCCUUGCUAGAAGGCACUCUUCGAUAUCCUCCGACACCACCAAACACGACCCUGAACUGACUUUUAAUCCCAAGGCCAGGGUUCGAUUCCCUGCGGGCCCACCA
rnacentral:tRNA from 1 species